rnacentral:rRNA from 1 species
AGCGAACGCUGGCGGCGUACUUAACACAUGCAAGUCGAACGAGGAUCGUCGGUGUAGCAAUACAUCGGCGGUUCUAGUGGCGCACGGGUGAGUAACACGUGGGUAACCUGUCCUUGAGUUCGGGAUACCCUCUCGAAAGGGAGGCUAAUACCGGAUACGUUCCUCGGAUUGCGAAAUCUGGGGAGGAAAGGUGGCGAAAGCUACCGCUCGUGGAGGGGCUCGCGGCCUAUCAGCAGUUGGUGAGGUAACGGCUCACCAAGGCUAUGACGGGUAGCUGGUCUGAGAGGACGACCAGCCACACGGGAACUGAGACACGGGUCCCGACUCCUACGGGAGGCAGCAGUGGGGAAUUUUCCGCAAUGGGCGAAAGCCUGACGGAGUGACGCCGCGUGGGGGACGAAGGCC